GGGGGUGCUAUACAUGCAAGUCGAACGCUUCUUUUUCCACCGGAGCUUGCUCCACCGGAAAAAGAGGAGUGGCGAACGGGUGAGUAACACGUGGGUAACCUGCCCAUCAGAAGGGGAUAACACUUGGAAACAGGUGCUAAUACCGUAUAACAAUCGAAACCGCAUGGUUUUGAUUUGAAAGGCGCUUUCGGGUGUCGCUGAUGGAUGGACCCGCGGUGCAUUAGCUAGUUGGUGAGGUAACGGCUCACCAAGGCGACGAUGCAUAGCCGACCUGAGAGGGUGAUCGGCCACAUUGGGACUGAGACACCGGCCCAAACUCCUACGGGAGGCAGCAGUAGGGAAUCUUCGGCAAUGGACGAAAGUCUGACCGAGCAACGCCGCGUGAGUGAAGAAGGUUUUCGGAUCGUAAAACUCUGUUGUUAGAGAAGAACAAGGAUGAGAGUAACUGUUCAUCCCUUGACGGUAUCUAACCAGAAAGCCACGGCUAACUACGUGCCAGCAGCCGCGGUAAUACGUAGGUGGCAAGCGUUGUCCGGAUUUAUUGGGCGUAAAGCGAGCGCAGGCGGUUUCUUAAGUCUGAUGUGAAAGCCCCCGGCUCAACCGGGGAGGGUCAUUGGAAACUGGGAGACUUGAGUGCAGAAGAGGAGAGUGGAAUUCCAUGUGUAGCGGUGAAAUGUCGCUAGAUAUAUGUUGAGGAACACCAGUGGCGAAGGCGGCUCUCUGGUUUCCUUUUUGUAACUCGACGCUGAGGCUCGAAAGCGUGGGGAGCAAACAGGAUUAGAUACCCUGGUAGUCCACGCCGUAAACGAUGAGUGCUAAGUGUUGGAGGGUUUCCGCCCUUCAGUGCUGCAGCUAACGCAUUAAGCACUCCGCCUGGGGAGUACGACCGCAAGGUUGAAACUCAAAGGAAUUGACGGGGGCCCGCACAAGCGGUGGAGCAUGUGGUUUAAUUCGAAGCAACGCGAAGAACCUUACCAGGUCUUGACAUCCUUUGACCACUCUAGAGAUAGAGCUUCCCCUUCGGGGGCAAAGUGACAGGUGGUGCAUGGUUGUCGUCAGCUCGUGUCGUGAGAUGUUGGGUUAAGUCCCGCAACGAGCGCAACCCUUAUUGUUAGUUGCCAUCAUUUAGUUGGGCACUCUAGCAAGACUGCCGGUGACAAACCGGAGGAAGGUGGGGAUGACGUCAAAUCAUCAUGCCCCUUAUGACCUGGGCUACACACGUGCUACAAUGGGAAGUACAACGAGUCGCAAAGUCGCGAGGCUAAGCUAAUCUCUUAAAGCUUCUCUCAGUUCGGAUUGUAGGCUGCAACUCGCCUACAUGAAGCCGGAAUCGCUAGUAAUCGCGGAUCAGCACGCCGCGGUGAAUACGUUCCCGGGCCUUGUACACACCGCCCGUCACACCACGAGAGUUUGUAACACCCGAAGUCGGUGAGGUAACCUUUUGGAGCCAGCCGCCUAAGGUGGGAUAGAUGAUUGGGGUGAAGUCGAACAAGGAGCUU
rnacentral:rRNA from 1 species